UACGGGGGGAGCAAGCGUUGUUCGGAUUUACUGGGCGUAAAGGGCGCGUAGGCGGUCAGCACAAGUCAGUUGUGAAAUCUCCGGGCUUAACUCGGAAAGGUCAACUGAUACUGUGCGACUAGAGUGCAGAAGGGGCAACUGGAAUUCUCGGUGUAGCGGUGAAAUGCGUAGAUAUCGAGAGGAACACCUGUGGCGAAGGCGGCCCCCUGGUUGGAUACUGACGCUGAUACGCGAAAAGCGUGGGGAGCAAACAGG
rnacentral:rRNA from 1 species